GAUGAACGCUGGCGGCGUGCCUAAUACAUGCAAGUCGAGCGAACAGAUGAGGAGCUUGCUCCUCUGACGUUAGCGGCGGACGGGUGAGUAACAUGUGGAUAACCUACAUAUAAGACUGGGAUAACUUCGGGAACCCGGAGCUAAUACCGGAUAAUAUAUUGAACCGCUUUGUUCAAUAGUAAAAGACGGUUUUGCUGUCACUUAUAGAUAGAUCCGCGUCGCAUUAGGUAGUUGGUACGGUAACGGCUUACCAAGGCAAGGAUGCGUAGCCGAGCUGAGAGGAUGAUGUGCCACACUGGAACUGAGACACGGUCCAGACUACUACGGGAGGCAGCAGUGGGGAAUCUUCCGCAAUGGGCGGAAGCCUGACGGAGCAACGCCGCGUGAGUGAUGAAGGUCUUCGGAUCGUAAAACACUGUUAUGAGGGAAGAACAAAUGUGUAAGUAGCUAUGCACGUCUUGACGGUACCUAAUCAGAAAGCCACGGCUAACUACGUG
rnacentral:rRNA from 1 species